UACAGAGGGUGCGAGCGUUAAUCGGAAUUACUGGGCGUAAAGCGUGCGUAGACGGUUAUUUAAGUCGGGUGUGAAAGCCCCGGGCUCAACCUGGGAAUUGCAUUCGAGACUGAAUAGCUAGGGUACGGUAGAGGGAAGUGGAAUUUCCGGUGUAGCGGUGAAAUGCGUAGAUAUCGGAAGGAACAUCAGUGGCGAAAGCGACUUCCU
rnacentral:rRNA from 1 species